CCUACGGGUGGCAGCAGUGAGGAAUAUUGGUCAAUGGACGCGAGUCUGAACCAGCCAAGCCGCGUGAAGGAUGACUGCUCUAUGGGUUGUAAACUUCUUUUAUAAAGGAAUAAAACGAGGCAUGUGUCCUUUUUUGCAUGUACUUUAUGAAUAAGGAUCGGCCAACUACGUGCCAGCAGCCGCGGUAAUACGGAGGAUCCGAGCGUUAUCCGGAGUUAUUGGGUUUAAAGGGAGAGUAGAUGGGUUGUUAAGUCAGUUGUGAAAGUCCGCGGCUCAACCGUAAAAUUGCAAUUGAUACUGGCGGUCUUGAGUACCGUUGAGGUAGGCGGAAUUCGUGGUGUAGCGGUGAAAUGCUUAGAUAUCAGGAAGAACCCCGGUUGCGAAGGCAGCUUACUGAAC
rnacentral:rRNA from 1 species